CGAAAAAGAAGAGUUUGAGCUACGAGAGAGAGAGGUUGUGUUUUCGGUGCGCGGCGUAAAUGGAAGCGAAAGAAGAGAAAAUUAUAAAAAAUUUGUGUAAAUUAAAUAUAAGACAAUUGAACGAAAUAAAGUUAUGAUUUACUAAUGAAUCCGUCGACAAUAGUUAUUGCGAGAAAGUAGCUUCAAAUUCGACAAAACCGGGAGGAUUAUACGGGCAUUUGUAUAAGUCCCCCCACAUAAAUGGGGCCCGUCCAGUAAAAUAAAAAAAACAAUAUUGUAAAUCAAUCAUUAACUCGUGUGUACAUUAUUGCCACAAAGCAUAAAACACCCAGGAGAGGCAGAAUUUUGAACGUCCAGAAAUUUCUGCAAAGGAGAGAACGAGACAGCACAUUGAGCCGCACACACACAAAAAUGGCAAUGUAACGACAGGCCUAAAUUUCACGAGAGCGAGUGAGACAGAGCAUGACAGCAAAGGCAAGAAAAAGGGCAGUUACGGCCUUAUCCGUCAAGCUCAUGCAUGUCUGAGCGACGGAAGAACCACAGAGGACAACGAAAAUUAGAGAAGAAGCACAUAAAUAGUGCACAAGAGAUGAUAAAAACUAUGAUGUGAAACUGUAAGAGAGGCAGCGGAACAGAUGGAAAAGAGGCACACAGAGAGUGCAUAAAAGAGUGUUGAAACUUCGAUGUCGAACUGUUAGAGAGAGAAGCAAGGAGUAACAACAAUAUCUAUCGUUGCUGAUAGUCGCGUCUUUACUUCGCUCCGCCUAACAAUUAUUUUUUUCGGUGAUUUAAGAAGAUUUAACUGUCCAUAGUUGAACUCUAAAAAUUAAACAUUAACCUUAAAAAGAAAAGAAAAAAAAAAACACAGAGAGCGGUAUUCACAUACACAAGCUACGGCGUUAUCCAUCAGACGUGUGUAUGGGUGCAGAGAAUCCGGAGAGCAGGCUUCACACACAACGACGACGGCAUCAGCCAGCAGAUGAAAAGAAGAAAAUCAAAGGCUACGCAUACACAGGCUACGGCAUUAUCCAUCAGACGUGUGUAUGGGUGCAGAGCAAAGAAACGACGUAGGAAACAGUUAGCAUAAUAACGAAAGAUGUCAAAGAAAAAAAAUCACAGUAAGAGUAACAGAGAUAAAGUAUAAGAUAUUUAAAGAGUGAGAUAAAACAUAUUAUUCGUAAACAUUAAUCAAAAUCCUUAAACAUUAUUUUAAGUUUAUAUCAUUUAGUUACAAUACUAUGGAGCCAUUUUGUUGCAAAGAAGCUCAGAGGAUCAACAGUUUCACCCAGUAGAGUAUAAGAGUACGAAGACUACGCCAACUGAAGAGAAAUAUCAUUCAUAUGAGUUGGAGGUCCGGCUAUAAUCCAAGCAUUGAAAAAAUGGAGAGUAUACGUAUUGGGGAUGAAGAUACAAAUUGUUACAGAUUGCAACGCUUUUGCAAUGACGAUGAAAAAACCAGAAGCUCCCUUAAGGGUAGCCCGCUGGAGAAUAAAAUAGUCCGCAAAUUGUGGCAUGGUAGAUAUUUAGUCGAAAAAGUAGGAGAAGAGGAGGUACCUAACCGGACUAACACACUGGCAGAGCACAUGAAAAAGUAUCAUUCGGGACGAAUGAGGAUGUCGGAUGGCCGAAUGUAGGAAAGGCUGUAACGCGAGUACCAUUAGCAUAGAGAGAGGAAAUAAUCGAAUAGAAAAGAGGAUCGAGUAAUCGAAAAAGAAGAGUUUGAGCUACGAGAGAGAGAGGUUGUGUUCUCGGUGCGCGGCGUAAAUGGAAGCGAAAGAAGAGAAAAUUAUAAAAAAUUUGUGUAAAUUAAAUAUAAGACGAAUAAACGAAAUAAAGUUAUGAUUCAUUAAUGAAUCCUUCGACAACAGUUAUUGCGAAAGAGUAGCUUCAAAUUCGACACAACCGGGAGGAUUAUAGGCUAUUCACACUGACGACCAUCCACCAUCCAUUUCUGGGAUGUUACGUAAUGGUUUUGCCGUUCGCAAAAGUUCCCAGUUAGUCCACCAUCCUUUUUGGAUGUUCCUAAACCACACGUUUCUAUGCGAUAGUUAGCCGAUGGUUUUCAAAUGCAACUCUGAAUAAUUGUCAUUCACAACGAAAAAAUGGUCUUCACUGCGAAAACGUAAACAAUUAUUGUGACAAAACAAAACAAAAAACAACAACAAUCAUGCCCAAUGGCUCGGAUGCAUUCAAGGCUGGCGAUGAGAUUGAGUGCGGCAUGGCAGAGUCUGCCAGGCUGAAGUUGCAAGUGUGUGGCGAAUAAAUGGCAGACGACUCACAACAUAGAACAAAUAUUUCUAUGCUCUGUAAAUGCUUUAUGUUAUUUAUAAUUAUUCUUUAAUAAUAAGUUUUUUUCGGACAUUAUCGAGUUGGAUCUGGGCGGAUCAUGUAGCUCCAGCACCUUUUCUGCCAACAAGGGCCCCCGCCAAAGCGAACCAAAAAAGACGACACUUCUUGGAUGGCAGAGAUAGCCAGAGACCGACUCGAAGAGCAGAAAGACCUUCACAGGAAGAUGGAAGAACAUGAAAUGAGGCAGGAAAAGAUGGUCGAGGACCUCAUCAACCCGAAAAAAAUUCAAGAAUGAAUUAUUGGAAGUGCUGGGAAAUAUAAAUAAAUAAGUUUAUAAUUUGCAUUAUGGUCUAAACAAUAUUUUGCGAUUGCAGAUCGUAUCUGUUCUGCUGAGUGAUUAAAAUCACCAGAACUGUUGCUGCUAUUGGGCUGUUCGCAUACUUUGCUGUUGAACCACGGCCGAAAUAAUUGCUACAUCUUCAUCAUCCAUUAUAAGCAAAUUUAAUGUACUUUUUAUUGGCAUCAGCUGUUUUUGACGGAUGGUGGCGGUUGGUGCCAGUGUGAAUCGGAGCUUCACAUCUGUCAAAAAAUCUCACCAUUCCCCCGGGAUGGGCUCAGUGUGCAGAGCCUAUUAUACGGAAUUGCUCAUGUGUUGCUCAUGAGUGACUGAAAAAAAAAGAGUUGUUCACUUGAGUGAGCAACUGAACAUG